UACAGAGGUCUCAAGCGUUGUUCGGAUUCAUUGGGCGUAAAGGGUGCGUAGGUGGCGCUGUAAGUCGGGUGUGAAAUUUCGGAGCUUAACUCCGAAACUGCAUUCGAUACUGCGGUGCUUGAAGACUGGAGAGGAGACUGGAAUUCAUGGUGUAGCAGUGAAAAUGCGUAGAGAUCAUGAGGAAGACCAGUGGCGAAGGCGGGUCUCUGGACAGUUCCUGACACUGAGGCACGAAGGCCAGGGGAGCAAACGGG
rnacentral:rRNA from 1 species